CUCACAACGAAUCUCCACCGUACUAUUUUCCCAAUAUAUACUCGGCCUGUUUCUGAUGAGCAUCACUUUAAUUUACAGAACAACUACAUACGUAAACCUCAUCAAUUACUAAUCCAAACUUCAUCACAGCCAGCAAAAUGGAAGGCAGCCUCUUCAUCCUUCAACUUUUUGUCGCCGUUCUCAUCCCUAACCUUGUCUCUAGCACGGCCGAUUAUGGCGAAGCCUGCAGCAGCACUAAUGCUUGCAUUCCAUAUGGCAACAAUCCUGAUCAAAAGGUCGUCUGUAUGUACCGUGGGCCGGCAUCUGUGUUCUGCAACACGGUGAACGUUGAAGUUGGACGUUGUCAAUGCGCAAGGAACUGUGGCAUGGCUAAUUUCUAUAACGAUGUUGGAGAAUUUCUACCCGAAGAAGGUCGCUGUGUUGGCUUUGUGGGGACUUCUUGCUAUGAUGGUUGGGCGCAGAAUGAUUGCGUGCCAAACUCAUACUGCCCUCAAAACAGGAGGAUUUGUGAAUGCAAUUUGGGAUUUGAAGUAUCUUCGGAUGGGAAACAUUGUGUGAGAUCGAGUGCAACAAUUUAAAUUUGAGGAAUAAUGACAGAAUCACAAAUUUUAAUGACAAUUGAGCAUGUACGCUACACAUAAUGGUUUAUAAAGUCAUUACAUCAAUAAAAGAAAAUAAUGAGUGAUCAAAUGCAUGUAAA